rnacentral:tRNA from 1 species
CAGGGAGACAACAAAAUGUUAAAUAUUAAUUUUGUCACCUUAGGUCGAUCGGUAUCUCAGAUUCUUAAAUUUAUUAAGGAUUUCAUUUCCUAAGUUUUUUCUAGGUCACACCCAUUAUUUUUCCUGGGCCAUUAGCUCAGGUGGUUAGAGCGCACCCCUGAUAAGGGUGAGGUCCCUGGUUCAAGUCCAGGAUGGCCCAUAUCUCUAUGUUGGGGGUAUAGCUCAGUUGGUAGAGCGCCUGCUUUGCAAGCAGGAUGUCAGCGGUUCGAGUCCGCUUACCUCCACUGAUUACCACCUCUUUCAUAUUUUGUAUGAAGGGAAAAAUUUGUGUUGUGAUCAAAUUCUGAACGAAUCUAGCUUCCUAAUGAAAUCAUUAAGAUGCUGGACUCAUUGAAUUAAUUUCAUUGUUUUCAGAGAACCUUGACAACUGCAUAGAUUAUUUUUAAAGACAAUAAGCAUCUUUAAUGAUGCAGAUUUAUUAUUUGUGCGAAUGCAUUAAUAACAAUUCUAUUAAGCUGAUGCUUCAAUAUUGAAGUUAUU